GACGGAUCAGUAGUAACUACUUCACAGGAAGGAUGCCUGAGUUUGGCAAUUUGAAACAGCUUCAGAAGUUGAUGAUUCUGAGGUUUGCUAUCAGUUUUCCUCUGGAAUAAAGAUCAGCCAAUUGGGAUGAGCUCAGAAUCUUUUAUGCAAAAGCCUUGAAUCAGUAAUAGCACAAACCAGCCAUGGUAAACUUGAAACAACCUUGGGGCACUGCAGUGCAUGCCAAUAAGCUGAUCUUCAGCAAAUAAAAAAAUUAUAAACAUGGACAAAGAGAGAGCCUUCA